UCCAUUGCUCUACUCUUUCUCUUCUGAAAAAGCAAAGAAAGAAUCGGUUCUCAACCAAACUUUGAUUUUGCUCUGCUUCUCUUUUGUCAAAUUCCAUUUAUUCUCCUUCACUCUCUCACUUUGACAGUCAGGCAAGCAAUUUUCACCCCUUCCUUCCCUUUUGCUGCGACAUUUUACUGUUUCAUAAUCAAUUGCUAAAUUACUAUUUUUGAUAUUGUAGAGUGAUUGUUGUGCUUUGUAUCUUGUUUGGGGUUUUUAGGGCUUUGGGAAUUAGUCUCUCUAGAAAUCAAGGUCUGAGUUUUAGUGGGAUUAUUGGUUAUUAUGGGGCGUUAUUUUGAGGGAUUUCAAGGUUUUUUUCUUUGGUCAGUGUUGAUUAAAUAAAAUUGAUUUUAACAGAAUUGCUUCCUCUUCAUUUCUUUGCCUUUAAGCUAGGAGAGCUUAGUUGAUUUGAACAUUCUUUAUGCAUGAUUAAAUUAAUUCUUAAUUGUUCCGGCAAUCUUUCAAGUGAAGGGUGAUGGGUUGGUCGAGUUUUUCUUGAAAUUUGAUUUUUGUAAUAUUCUUCUUUUAGGGGAUAGAACCAGGUAUUUCCAGUUGCAUAGGUUAAAAUCUGUACUCAGCACUGAGAUAUUUGCCGUUUUUUUAGAAACCUUUAUAAUGGCUAUUGUGUAGCUGCUAAUAGGUGGUACCCGUUGUUUUGACAGAGCAGGUCCUUCAAAGGCAGAGAGAGGUCCCUGGAUAUUCUUUUUCCGAAUACAUGGAUUAGAGUACUGGUCGCA
rnacentral:lncRNA from 1 species